CCGCUUGUGAACAGUGAUUUAUCGGAGCCGCCUCCACGUCAACACGAACCGAGACGCGUUGACCAUAAAGCUGUUCUCGAAAGUGCCCACCGUGGGCCAGGUGAACCGGACGGCAGGGGCCGGCUGCAACCCCGUGCAAAGCUCUGGAGGGCAGGAACGUCAUCGGUUUGCUCUUAAACGCCUGGAUGGAACGCAAGCAGCAGGGAGCAGCAGUCAAGGUUGGCUGCUAGGACAUGGGACUGCAGUGGGGCACCGUUAGAGGGUCUUUUACCAGUUUGGGACGGCGCCCAUCGGCCGCGACA